rnacentral:rRNA from 1 species
AUACGGAGGGGGCUAGCGUUGUUCGGAAUUACUGGGCGUAAAGCGUACGUAGGCGGACUGAUCAGUUGGGGGUGAAAUCCCAGGGCUUAACCCUGGAACUGCCUUCAAUACUGUCAGUCUUGAGUUUGGGAGAGGUGAGUGGAAUUCCUAGUGUAGAGGUGAAAUUCAUAGAUAUUAGGAGGAACACCAGUGGCGAAGGCGGCUCACUGGCCCAUUACUGACGCUGAGGUACGAAAGCGAGGGGAGCAAACAGGAUUAGAAACCCUAGUAGUCC